rnacentral:rRNA from 1 species
GACGAACGCUGGCGGCGUGCUUAAUACAUGCAAGUCGAGCGAGGUCCAUCUGGUGGCAACACCAGUGAAGGCCGAGCGGCGAACGGGUGAGUAACACGUGAGCAACCUGCCCCGAAGUCUGGAAUAACAUCGGGAAACCGGUGCUAAUACCGGAUCGCCCCACCUGACCGCAUGAUCGGGUGAGGAAAGAUUUAUCGCUUCGGGAGGGGCUCGCGGCCUAUCAGCAGUUGGUGGGGUAACGGCCUACCAAGGCAUCGACGGGUAGCUGGUCUGAGAGGACGACCAGCCACACU